UGAAACAAGGUGCUGCAUGGCUGUCGUCAGCUCGUGCCGUGAGGUGUCAGGUUAAGUCCUAUAACGAGCGCAACCCCUGCCGUUAGUUGCCAGCAUGUAAAGAUGGGAACUCUAACGGGACUGCCGGUGCAAACCGUGAGGAAGGUGGGGAUGACGUCAAAUCAUCACGGCCCUUACGUCCUGGGCUACACACGUGCUACAAUGGCCGGUACAGAGGGCAGCCACACUGUAAAGUGGAGCGAAUCCUUAAAACCGGUCUCAGUUCGGAUCGGGGUCUGCAACUCGACCCCGUGAAGCUGGAAUCGCUAGUAAUCGCGCAUCAGCCAUGGCGCGGUGAAUACGUUCCCGGGCCUUGUACACACCGCCCGUCAAGCCAUGGAAGUUGGGAGUACCUGAAGUCGGUAACCGCAAGGAGCUGCCUAGGGUAAAACCAGUAACUGGGGCUAAGUCGGAACAAGGUAGCCGUACCGGAAGGUGCGGCUGGAACACCUCCUU
rnacentral:rRNA from 14 species